GACGAACGCUGGCGGCGUGCCUAAUACAUGCAAGUAGAACGCUGAAGAGAGGAGCUUGCUCUUCUUGGAUGAGUUGCGAACGGGUGAGUAACGCGUAGGUAACCUGCCUUGUAGCGGGGGAUAACUAUUGGAAGCGAUAGCUAAUACCGCAUAACAAUGGAUGACACAUGUCAUUUAUUUGAAAGGGGCAAUUGCUCCACUACAAGAUGGACCUGCGUUGUAUUAGCUAGUAGGUGAGGUAAUGGCUCACCUAGGCGACGAUACAUAGCCGACCUGAGAGGGUGAUCGGACACACUGGGACUGAGACACGGCCCAGACUCCUACGGGAGGCAGCAGUAGGGAAUCUUCGGCAAUGGGGGCAACCCUGACCGAGCAACGCCGCGUGAGUGAAGAAGGUUUUCGGAUCGUAAAGCUCUGUUGUAAGUCAAGAACGGGUGUGAGAGUGGAAAGUUCACACUGUGACGGUAGCUUACCAGAAAGGGACGGCUAACUACGUG
rnacentral:rRNA from 1 species